UCAGGUCAGGUGGGACAAUAUUAAAGAAGACAACAGGUUGAAUUCAUCAUUAAUCGAAUAAUUAUUAGUUGAAUUAGCAGAAAUAUUUUUUCGUUAAUGUGGAAUAAAAAAUCCGUGAAAAUGAACAAGAAAUUGACAUUAAUAGUCUUUGUUGGAGUUUUUUCAACUAUAGUCGAUCAUGUGCUCGCUAAUCCUGAUCAACUGAAUUAUUAUAAUACUCUUCUUCAGAAAAUAGCUAGUGAAACAGGAUUAGAUGUUGGUGAUAAUAUUAGGGUAAUAAAUAAAUUCUAUU